rnacentral:tRNA from 1 species
AAAUAAGAAGCAAUUUGCAUUUAAUUUCGACUUAAAAGAUGGGUUUAAAUUACCCCUUAUUUA